rfam:Brachypodium distachyon strain Bd21 chromosome 5, whole genome shotgun sequence.
UAAUUACUCCCUCUGUUUCAUAAUUCUUGUCGAAAUAUUACAUGUAUCUAGACGUUUUUUAGGAAGAGAUACAUCCAUUUUGGGGAAAAUUUGAGACAAGAAUUAUGGAACGGAGGGAGUAUUAU